GUGGGGAAUAUUGGGCAAUGGGGGCAACCCUGACCCAGCGACGCCGCGUGGGUGAAGAAAUCCCUCGGGAUGUAAAGCCCUGUUGUAUGGGAAGAGCAGAAGACGGUACCAUACGAGGAAGCCCCGGCAAACUACGUGCUAGCAGCCGCGGUAAUACGUAGGGGGCAAGCGUUGUCCGGAAUUACUGGGCGUAAAGCGCACGCAGGCUGAAUUAUAAGUCGGUAGUCAAAUACGGAGGCUCAACUUCCGGAUAUCUAUCGAUACUGUAAAUCUAGAGUAUGUGAGAGGGAAGCAGAAUUGCCGGUGUAGCGGUGAAAUGCGUAGAUAUCGGGAGGAACACCAGUGGCGAAGGCGGCUUCCUGGCACAAUACUGACGCUCAUGUGCGAAAGCUAGGGCAGCGAACGGGAUUAGAAACCCCUGUAGUCC
rnacentral:rRNA from 1 species